CCCAGGACUUUGGAAGGUUGAAUUGGGUGGAUCAUCUGAGGUCAGGAGUUCGAGACCAGCCUGGCCAACAUGGUGAAACCCUUCUCUACUAAAAAAGUACAGAAAUUAACCAGGAAUCCUUUAUUUGUUCCCUUCUCAAAAAGUGUGAUUGGGGAAGAAACCAUCCCCAAUUCUCUCUUUGUUGACAUUUGAUCUAGAAAUAGGCUGUCUGCAAACUGUGUAUUAGGAGAGUCAGUCCGAGUCCCAAAACUGAAGAACUUGAAGUCCGAUGUUCCAGGACAGGAAACAUCCGGCAGCAUUCCUCCCUCUGGAACUAACACCUUUAGACCAGCAGAGCAUAAUAUCACAGGAAAAGGAAGCAAAAAAUUUUGCUAUGGGAUCUCUUGGGUGAAGAUUUUGUUCCAAUUUGAUUGUUUGAAGCUUGGACUGAACACUCCUCCAUUCCAAGAUCCAGAACCGUGACACAGGUGAUACCAAGAAAGCGAAAAGAGACUCACUUUAUUUGGAGAAGGAUGCUGAAAAUGACAUGACCUGGGGUAUUGCCAAAACCAAUGGAGAUCUCAGUGGCAAAUGACCAGGGUAAGCAGUAGUUUAGCAUAUCAGCUACAAAUUUAACAGGGAAACCUGGGGAAUAAGACAGUCAAAGCCAGCCUUUAUGGAAUCUUAAACUGGAGGUUUAUGGCAUAGAUGAGGCUACACAGACAUUCAGGAGAGACUGGACAGGACACUAAUGAGCAAAUGAUCCCAGGUUGGAUGUGAGACCUUGAGAACACAGACAGUGAAAGAAAAAGGCAUGUGCUUAUAAACUGCCUGUA
rnacentral:lncRNA from 13 species